rnacentral:rRNA from 1 species
CCAAUAGCGUAUCUUAAAGUUGUUGCAGUUAAAAAGCUCGUAGUUGAACUUCGGGGUCUACCCAUUGGUCAGGCUUAAUUGUCUGCACUGGUGAGAUGGAUCUCUACCUUCUGAGGAACUUUCAUGCCAUUUAUUUAGUGUGAUUGGAAAUCAGGACUGUUACUUUGAAAAAAUUAGAGUGUUUAAAGCAGACUAUCGUCUGAAUACAUUAGCAUGGAAUAAUGAAAUAGGACGGACUGAUUCUAUUUCGUUGGUUUCUAGGAUCACCGUAAUGAUUAAUAGGGAUAGUUGGGGGCAUUAGUAUUCAAUUGUCAGAGGUGAAAUUCUUGGAUUUAUUGAAGACUAACUACUGCGAAAGCAUUUGCCAAGGAUGUUUUCAUUAAUCAAGAACGAAAGUUAGGGGAUCGAAGACGAUCAGAUACCGUCGUAGUCUUAACCAUAUACUAUGCCGACUAGGGAUCGGGCGAUGUUGUUUCAAUGACUCGCUCGGCACCUUAUG